AGUGAAAUUCCAGGGAGCACACU
rnacentral:piRNA from 1 species